rnacentral:rRNA from 1 species
GAUGAACGCUGGCGGCGUGCUUAACACAUGCAAGUCGAACGGAAAGGCUCCUGCUUGCAGGGGCACUCGAGUGGCGAACGGGUGAGUAACACGUGGGUGAUCUGCCCUGCACUUCGGGAUAAGCCUGGGAAACUGGGUCUAAUACCGGAUAGGACCAUCGUUUAGUGUCGGUGGUGGACAGUUUUUUCGGUGUGGGAUGUGCUCGCGGCCUAUCAGCUUGUUGGUGGGGUAAUGGCCUACCAAGGCGUCGACGGGUAGCCGGCCUGAGAGGGUGUACGGCCACAUUGGGACUGAGAUACGGCCCAGACUCCUACGGGAGGCAGCAGUGGGGAAUAUUGCACAAUGGGCGCAAGCCUGAUGCAGCGACGCCGCGUGGGGGAUGACGGCCUUCGGGUUGUAAACUCCUUUCGCCAGGGACGAAGCGAAAGUGACGGUACCUGGAGAAGAAGCACCGGCUAACUAUGUG